GGGCAGUUAGCUCAGCGGAAGAGCACCUCCCUUACAAGGAGGGGGUCACAGGUUCGAACCCUGUACUGCCCA
rnacentral:tRNA from 1 species